CAGGCUUGCAUUUCAAGUAA
rnacentral:miRNA from 1 species